GACAGAGGGUGCAAACGUUGUUCGGAAUUACUGGGCGUAAAGCGCAUGUAGGCGGCAACGCAAGUCGGGCGUGAAAUCCCACGGCUCAACCGUGGAAGUGCACUCGAAACUGCGUAGCUAGAGUCCUGGAGAGGAAGGUGGAAUGCUUGGUGUAGAGGUGAAAUUCGUAGAUAUCAAGCGGAACACCGGUGGCGAAGGCGGCCUUCUGGACAGUGACUGACGCUGAGAUGCGAAAGCGCGGAGAGCAAACAGG
rnacentral:rRNA from 1 species